UACAGAGGUCUCAAGCGUUGUUCGGAUUCAUUGGGCGUAAAGGGUGCGUAGGCGGCGCGGUAAGUCGGGUGUGAAAUCUCGGAGCUUAACUCCGAAACUGCAUUCGAUACUGCCGUGCUUGAGGACUGGAGAGGAGACUGGAAUUUACGGUGUAGCGGUGAAAUGCGUAGAUAUCGUAAGGAAGACCAGUGGCGAAGGCGGGUCUCUGGGCCUGACCUGACGCUGAGGAGCGAAAGCGUGGGGAGCGAACAGG
rnacentral:rRNA from 1 species